CCUACGGGGGGCAGCAGUGGGGGAUAUUGGACAAUGGGGGGAACCCUGAUCCAGCGACGCCGCGUGAGUGAAGAAGUAUCUCGGUAUGUAAAGCUCUAUCAGCAGGGAAGAAGAAAUGACGGUACCUGAGUAAGAAGCCCCGGCUAACUACGUGCCAGCAGCCGCGGUAAUACGUAGGGGGCAAGCGUUAUCCGGAAUUACUGGGUGUAAAGGGAGCGUAGACGGUGAUGUAAGUCUGGAGUGAAAGGCGGGGGCCCAACCCCCGGACUGCUCUGGAAACUAGGUGACUGGAGUGCAGGAGAGGUGAGCGGAAUUCCUAGUGUAGCGGUGAAAUGCGUAGAUAUCAGGAGGAACAUCGGUGGCGUAAGCGCUUUACUGGGCCGUAAUUGACGCUGAGGAACGAAAGCCAGGGUAGCAAAUGGGAUUAGAUACCCCUGUAGUC
rnacentral:rRNA from 1 species